rnacentral:misc_RNA from 1 species
AAAUUGAGGAUUGUACUCAAAAACUGAUCAUAAUUACGCACAAAAAAAAUAAUUAGUCGAAUGUUUUAGAUACAUAACCCUUAAUUAAUACAAAUAAAUUCUAAUUCAAAAUAAAUUCAAACAAAUAUUAUUAAUUAAAGUAUUAUUAAUUCACUUAUUGAAUUCACUAUCUAUACUUAUUUUCACCGGUAAUUAUUACCUACACACUGAGAUACCUACACCCAACCAAUUAACAAUUGUUAUUUUGAUUAAAAUAAUGAUAGAUUUCUUUCUAUUUUCUUUCAAUUCUCUAUUUUACCUUUAAAUUGAAGAAAAAAAAAUAAGAAAAAGUAAAUAAAAAUAUCAAAUUGUCGUUUUUUUCUAUUUUCUUCUUUCGUUACUUCUUUUUUUUCUCCAAGUAAAUGUUUAUGAUUUUAAAGUUGUUUAGUUUAGUUACUUAUCUUUAACUUUUAAUUCAAAUAAUAUUUUUAAUUUACAAAUCAAAUUAAAAAUAAAU